rnacentral:rRNA from 1 species
AGCGUACACGGUGGAUGCCCUGGCAGUCAGAGGCGAUGAAGGACGUGCUAAUCUGCGAAAAGCGUCGGUAAGGUGAUAUGAACCGUUACAGCCGGCGAUGUCCGAAUGGGGAAACCCAGUGCAAUUCGUUGCACUAUCGUUAACUGAAUACAUAGGUUAACGAGGCGAACCGGGGGAACUGAAACAUCUAAGUACCCCGAGGAAAAGAAAUCAACCGAGAUUCCCCCAGUAGCGGCGAGCGAACGGGGAGCAGCCCAGAGUCUGAAUCAGCUUGUGUGUUAGUGGAACGGUCUGGAAAGUCCGACGGUACAGGGUGAUAGUCCCGUACACCAAAAUGCACAGGUUGUGAACUCGAAGAGUAGGGCGGGACACGUGGUAUCCUGUCUGAAUAUGGGGGGACCAUCCUCCAAGGCUAAAUACUCCUGACUGACCGAUAGUGAACCAGUACCGUGAGGGAAAGGCGAAAAGAACCCCGGCGAGGGGAGUGAAAAAGAACCUGAAACCGUGUACGUACAAGCAGUGGGAGCACCUUCGGGUGUGACUGCGUACCUUUUGUAUAAUGGGUCAGCGACUUAUAUUCUGUAGCAAGGUUAACCGUAUAGGGGAGCCGCAGGGAAACCGAGUCUUAACUGGGCGUUAAGUUGCAGGGUAUAGACCCGAAACCCGGUGAUCUAGCCAUGGGCAGGUUGAAGGUUGGGUAACACUAACUGGAGGACCGAACCGACUAAUGUUGAAAAAUUAGCGGAUGACUUGUGGCUGGGGGUGAAAGGCCAAUCAAACCGGGAGAUAGCUGGUUCUCCCCGAAAGCUAUUUAGGUAGCGCCUCGUGAACUCAUCUUCGGGGGUAGAGCACUGUUUCGGCUAGGGGGUCAUCCCGACUUACCAACCCGAUGCAAACUACGAAUACCGAAGAAUGUUAUCACGGGAGACACACGGCGGGUGCUAACGUCCGUCGUGAAGAGGGAAACAACCCAGACCGCCAGCUAAGGUCCCAAAGUCACAGUUAAGUGGGAAACGAUGUGGGAAGGCACAGACAGCCAGGAUGUUGGCUUAGAAGCAGCCAUCAUUUAAAGAAAGCGUAAUAGCUCACUGGUCGAGUCGGCCUGCGCGGAAGAUGUAACGGGGCUAAACUGUGCACCGAAGCUGCGGCAGCGACACUAUGUGUUGUUGGGUAGGGGAGCGUUCUGUAAGCCUGCGAAGGUGGCCUGUGAGGGUUGCUGGAGGUAUCAGAAGUGCGAAUGCUGACAUAAGUAACGAUAAUGCGGGUGAAAAGCCCGCACGCCGGAAGACCAAGGGUUCCUGUCCAACGUUAAUCGGGGCAGGGUGAGUCGACCCCUAAGGCGAGGCCGAAAGGCGUAGUCGAUGGGAAACAGGUUAAUAUUCCUGUACUUGGUGUUACUGCGAAGGGGGGACGGAGAAGGCUAUGUUAGCCGGGCGACGGUUGUCCCGGUUUAAGCAUGUAGGCGGAGGUUCCAGGUAAAUCCGGUACCUUUUAACGCUGAGGUGUGAUGACGAGGCACUACGGUGCUGAAGUAACAAAUGCCCUGCUUCCAGGAAAAGCCUCUAAGCAUCAGGUAACAUUGAAUCGUACCCCAAACCGACACAGGUGGUCAGGUAGAGAAUACCAAGGCGCUUGAGAGAACUCGGGUGAAGGAACUAGGCAAAAUGGUGCCGUAACUUCGGGAGAAGGCACGCUGAUAUGUAGGUGAAGCCCCUGCGGGUGGAGCUGAAAUCAGUCGAAGAUACCAGCUGGCUGCAACUGUUUAUUAAAAACACAGCACUGUGCAAACACGAAAGUGGACGUAUACGGUGUGACGCCUGCCCGGUGCCGGAAGGUUAAUUGAUGGGGUUAUCCGUAAGGAGAAGCUCUUGAUCGAAGCCCCGGUAAACGGCGGCCGUAACUAUAACGGUCCUAAGGUAGCGAAAUUCCUUGUCGGGUAAGUUCCGACCUGCACGAAUGGCGUAAUGAUGGCCAGGCUGUCUCCACCCGAGACUCAGUGAAAUUGAACUCGCUGUGAAGAUGCAGUGUACCCGCGGCAAGACGGAAAGACCCCGUGAACCUUUACUAUAGCUUGACACUGAACAUUGAGCCUUGAUGUGUAGGAUAGGUGGGAGGCUUUGAAGCGUGGACGCCAGUCUGCGUGGAGCCAACCUUGAAAUACCACCCUUUAAUGUUUGAUGUUCUAACGUUGGCCCCUUAUCGGGGUUGCGGACAGUGUCUGGUGGGUAGUUUGACUGGGGCGGUCUCCUCCCAAAGAGUAACGGAGGAGCACGAAGGUUAGCUAAUCCUGGUCGGACAUCAGGAGGUUAGUGCAAUGGCAUAAGCUAGCUUGACUGCGAGCGUGACGGCGCGAGCAGGUGCGAAAGCAGGUCAUAGUGAUCCGGUGGUUCUGAAUGGAAGGGCCAUCGCUCAACGGAUAAAAGGUACUCCGGGGAUAACAGGCUGAUACCGCCCAAGAGUUCAUAUCGACGGCGGUGUUUGGCACCUCGAUGUCGGCUCAUCACAUCCUGGGGCUGAAGUAGGUCCCAAGGGUAUGGCUGUUCGCCAUUUAAAGUGGUACGCGAGCUGGGUUUAGAACGUCGUGAGACAGUUCGGUCCCUAUCUGCCGUGGGCGCUGGAGAAUUGAGGGGGGCUGCUCCUAGUACGAGAGGACCGGAGUGGACGCAUCACUGGUGUUCGGGUUGUCAUGCCAAUGGCAUUGCCCGGUAGCUAAAUGCGGAAGAGAUAAGUGCUGAAAGCAUCUAAGCACGAAACUUGCCCCGAGAUGAGUUCU